rnacentral:lncRNA from 1 species
CACUACUUGGUGCAUCUACCGAUAUUAUUCUUAAGCGCAUCUGCUAGUAUUAUGAUAUUCUCUAAUUGGUGCAUCUGCCAAUAUCAUUCUUAAUCAUCUUUCAUACCUCAUCGUUUUAUCACAUACCAGCUAUCUCAUCUACCCAUGUUCUACCCAACAUAUUUGGGAAUAUAAAAUACAAAUACAGUUUAACUCAUUUAAAAACUAUAUAAAACAUCCAUUCCACACUCAUCUCAAAUAAACAACAAUAUAUAAACACAUAACACGUAUUUUAUAACAAAUACUUCAUAUUUAUGUGUUAGAAGAAAGUAACCACACACUCACCCAAACAUAUACUUAAUACAUUCAAACAAUACUUGUAUUAUACCCGUGUUUAUGAAAGGGACUAUACACCCACGCAUAUAAACAACUUUAUAUUAUACACAUAACACGUAUUUUAUAGCAAAUACUUAAUAUUUAUGUGUUAGAAGGAAGUAAAUACACACUCACUUGAUCAGAAGAUGAUCGGACAGCACUACGGCUUGCAGAAGUAGUAUUCUUCAGUAGAUCUGGAAGAUCUCCACAAAAAUCGAACUCCUCGCGGGCAGAGAUUCGGAUCGGGAAUCGCACUUCUCGGGAUCUUCGGGAGCGUAAAACUUCCUUCUUAACUUGGAUAUGAGAUCCGGGGUGUCGGGAUGGCUUCGGGGGUUUACAUGUAGAGCUUCGGCGUGAAAAUGAGAAGAAAUGAGCAAGAAUGCCCGGAACCCUCACAUACUAUUUAUAGGAGGCUGAAGCCUCGCAGUACGCUGGGUGUACUGCCUUAUGCGGAGCGUACGCCUUCGAAAUCGUCACUGCAUGCGUCAUCCGAAGAACUCGAGUGCGAGGCGCGUCAUGCUUCGCGGUACGCUGGGCGUACUUCGAAUAAGUCCGGUGACUCCUUUUCGGAUAAUAUCGGAUAUAAUAAAUAAAUUUAAAUAUUAAUUAUUUAAUAAACUUUGAAAAUUCAUAUCUUCGUCGAACGAACUUUGUUUUCGACGUUCUUCAUAUCCACNGACUACGCUCUACAACUUUCGUUUAGACUCCAUCGCCUAAUUUUGAUUUUUAUAUUUAUUAUUUAUAUUUAGUAGGCUGGGACAGGAAAACUCCGUUAUAAAAUCAUAACUUCUUUAUCCGACGUCCGUUUUUGCCUAUCUUUUCAUCGUUUCACUACAAUUAACGUGAUCUUCGAUUCUCGUUUAGAUUUUUUCGGCUAAAAACUGCUCGAUCUCAAAUCGAGUAUUCGGGCUGCAUACUACUAAGUUGAAACUUAGAAAAAUCAUAACUUCCUCAUACGAAGUCAGAUUUGGAUGUUCUUUUUAUGCACGCUCAUGGUUUAACGAAAUCUACGACUUUAUUUUAGAUAUCUAAGUCUAAAUAUCGCUCUAACAUAAAUUCACUAUUUACGUCGCGUUGUGUCGUGCCAGUUCUAUCGCGAAACUUCGACAGGACAUAACUUCUUCGUUAUAACUCGGAUUUCGGCGUUCUUUAUAUGUACGGAAUCCUUGUAACAUAUACUACAACUUAGUAAAGAUUAUUCAUCCUAAAUAAUCUUCUAUCAAAAAGUCAUUUUUGACGCUUAUCGUCUCUAAAUUGACUAGCCCUGAUCUACGGGCGUUACAAUUAUCUCCCCAUUAGGAUGAUUACGUCCCAGAAUCAUCAACGAUAAUAGAACUUGUAUAAUGAUUCCAUACGCUAUCUCUUCAUCCUAGGUAAUAAACGUAACUUCUAUGUUUCCUCGAAAAAGUAUUUAACUCUAUGGAUUUCUUGACCGGAGACGAUGCUCAAUCUAGCAUUUGCUUAUCGUACUAUGUUGUACUUUCAAUCGUAACCUUCGAGUUACCAAAUAAGUCCUUAUUGUGGACUCCUUCUUCUUCUCAGGAUAAUUACUUUCAUAUAUCUAUUGUAACAAACCGAUGGGUCAUGCUCUAUUGACCUCUCAUCGCACGAUACGACACUUAGACUCAGUCUUUAAUGAAGUUAAAUUCCAGAAUGGAAUAUACCUUUCUUCAUAUUAUAAUGUGAUAUAAUCACAUUUCAGCAUGUAGCAUUUCUACCUGUAAACUUCUUUUAUCAACGAGCGCGACACUAUCAAUCGCAUUAACUUCAACCUUCUGACUUAAGUCAGAUGUUACAUCUAACUUGGUCCUCUAGACCACGUAACAUACUCCUCGUAGUCGAACUCAAAUUUAAAUAUGACCACUACGGUCGGAACAAGAACCAUCUUACUAGUCAUUACCGAAACAAUGGUAAGGACACAUUGAACAAAACGUAAUCAAUUAUUAGCUUCUUGGUAACCUUGUGACUUUCCCUGAUCCAAGUGCGAGUCCUGUGCUUCCGGUAGUAUAUGCAUCUACUACCUUUCACACCUACUCAUACUCGUCGAAGGUAUUGUCCCGCAGUCGACCAAGUCACCAUACAAGAAAUCAGACAAUCAUUUAACACAUCAGGUAGCAAAACUAGGGUUUAUAUUAAUUCCUUGAAACGAUUACACAAAAGUUCAAGUUCACCCUAUACUAUGCCUCUAAUAGGCUACAUAAAUGAUACUUUUCAUAUCGUUACUUUAUAACUUGAUCUUUAGAUAUAAGAUCCUUAUUCUUGAUUCCUUGCAUUGCCAUCUGCUUCAUCAAAGAUCAUUUGAAAUGCUCUUGCCUUUAGCUUUGGCGGCACCUCUAGCCUUGCUGCUUGAUUUUUCCUUGGGCAGUCUUGCUUGAAGUGCCCCUCUUCGUUACAUUCGUAACACACCUUUUUGUUGAAAAUACAUUCAUCGGCGUAGUGCCCAUGCUUUCCACACUUGAAACAUGUCACUUCCACGCCACAUUUUCCUGAGUGCUUCUUCUUGCACUUAUCGCACCACCGUGCCUCAUCCCUUCCUCCUCCUCCAGACUUCGAGGAUUUUCUUUUCUCAUUAGAACCUGAAGUUCCUUCUAACUUUCUCUUCUCACCAACUNACUUUCUCUUGUCGCCAACUUCAACCUUACUGUCAGUCCUCCCCUUGAUCAUAUUCUAAACAGACUUGGCAGCCCAAAUAGCUACCUCUAGAGUAGGUGCCUGACGCACUGGCACCAUAUACUCCCAAGGGAGUCCCUUUACGUACCGGUCGACUUUUGUCAGUUCGUCUGGGAUGAUGCGCAAAGCAAACUCCAUCUUGUCUGUGAAGGCAUUAGUGUAUUCAUCCACUGACAUGCUGCCUUUCUUCAAUAUCAGAAAUUUGUUCUCCAACUCUAGCAGGUAUUGGGCCGAGCAGAACUUGCGCUUGAAUUGAACCAAGAACUCUGCCCAGGCAGUUGCAGUGGCUCAUUAGGGCUUAGGAUCUUCCCCAGAGUGUUCCACCAACGAACAACCCCACCCCUAAACUGACGUACUGCGAAAGUGGUCUGCAACGUGUCUCUGCAACCACACGUCAUGAAGGCUAGCUCCAUUUCCGAUACCGAAUCCAUAACUCUGAUCUGAUCCUCCUUUCCAGUAAAGUUCGAUGGUUUGCAAGUCAAAAAAUCCUUAUAAAUGCAUCCCAUUCCAUCAUUCCUUCCAUUCUGGUUGUUUUGCCUAACUAUCGGUGGGUUGGCUUGACCAACAGAUCCACUGAAGUUUCCUCCUUCCGAGUGCCCUUCAUUUAAUUCAGGCUCUUCCACUUGAAUUGACAGUUCUUCACGAUUCUGUUGAAGCAACCGNAGACGUCUCGUUUCAUCCAUCUGACGAUCCAACAUCGUUUGAAUCAUCAAUUGUACACCAGCCAUUGUUAUCGGCUUAGGUGCUGUUGCUACGACAGGUAUUUGCUUAAUCACUGGUGGUUGAUUCCUAUUUUUAUUAGCAUUUCCAACUCCACUUCUUGUUCUCACCAUUUUUGAUCUAUAUACCGAAUAAGGUGAAAUUAGAUCCUUAUUCACGAUAGAUAUUCAAAUCAUCCUUAUCACUCCGAAACAUUUACAUGCUAGUUCUAAAUUCGUAGACGUACGCUUAGAAUACUACACACAUAAGGUUUCCAGAUCCGGUCGACAACAAAUCAUAGAUCCGAACAAAUAAUAUCAUAUAUGACAACAAAUAACAUUUAGCACAUAAAAUCAUUUUAGGCAACUUUCCUAAAAUAAACUAGUGCUUGUGUCAAUUUAGGUGUACUACCUAAAAUAUUUUUGACACACUCCUCACGAUCAUUACUUAGCAUUCUAAGUUUAAGUCUAGAAAUUUCCUACAAAAUUCCUAGUUCACUUAAACUAAUGCUCUGAUACCAACUGUGACAUCCCCAAUUUCACGGCCAGAAAAGCCCGAUUUGUUUAUGCUUUGUUUUAUAAAAUCAAGAUACUUUCCUAGACAAAACAAAUAUUUAAGAGUUAGUGUAGUUCUUAUCAAGAGAAAACACUUUACAAAAUUUGUCCUAAUUGGUCUUUGCCUUAUCCAAGACAUCACAACUUACCAAUUUCAAAUGUGCAAGAAUAAGAAAACUUUUCAAAAUUCCACAUUUGAUGAGUGUUAUAAACCUUCUCGAGACUUGUCACUCAAUUCACAAUCUUGGAGUAUAACUCUAAGACUUGAUGUUGGAACAAAGUAUGAUUGACUCCUUGAUUUUAACCAUUUCCACAAUUCUCGAUUACUCUUCUUAGACAUGCAAAUGCACUAAGACUCACUUAGAGCAUCAAUUGAGAUACAGUUCCUUAUCAUUAAGACUUAUCAUAAAACACAAUAAAAGGUACUCUCCCUUCUUCUUAGAAUAAAGAAACUUUUAUCUUUCUGCCUACUUGAUUCUUCUUAUUCGUUCUGCUAUUGAUUGAAACUCUUUCGAUCAGCUCAUAAUUAUACUUAAUCUUAUAAGUAUAACCAUAUGUACUAAACUUUAGUAAAUCAUGAUGAAUAUCUUUAUCACUCUUGUGGUGGACUUGAUCAAUGUACAACCUAGUGCAUUCGAUCUCCUAGUCCUUCUCUUUACACUUUGUCAAAGAAUUACUCUAAUUUCCAAAUAUGAAGUUUCUCAUUCAUCACACAACCAAGUUACAUGACUCCAAGUUUCUGUCCAACUGAAACUUUGGCGAUGAGAAUCUUCCUUUAUUUGGCAAUUUCUCGACAUUUCCACAAAUGACAUAAUUAAGAAUCAAAUCCAUUAUUGAUACACAAACAUCAAUUUUUCAUAAUGAUUUCAUUGCAAGGAUAUAUAAAAUUAUUCAAACCCAAAAUUUUAUUUUAUUCAUAAAAGUAGCGGAAAACAUGUGCUUACAAUGCAAAAUCAAUUGAAAAACUAUGUUAUUAGCAAUCUAUUCUAACUCUAAGUAGUAGCUCAAGAACCCAAUCUUCAAGAAAUGCGAUCGAAAUCCAUUUCUUCAAGAUUAGAUUCAACUUACUUCUUCCCUUAAGCUUCCUCUAUUUUCUUCGAUCUUACAAAACAUCAAAAUGUCAUCUUAUCACAUCAUGAAUUAUGAAUCUGGAAUAGGAACUUAAAACACUUAGAUAGUGGAUUUCAUACCUGAAGAAUAGUCAUAACAUUAGACUCUCCCAUCUCUUAGAUCUCUCAGGUAGGUAGGGCAGCUUUGUCUCUGAUGCCCCUUCUCUUGGCAAUAAAAACAAAUGGACUCUUUUGGAAUGACACAUGGAACUAUCUCAGAGUUUAACUUUUCUGGAUCUCCAAUGUCAUCAUUUUCAAUGUCCACUAAAGUUUGGGAGUUUGAUUCACCAGACAAAUUUGCUUGACCAGCAUGCCAAAUCAUUGUUGAUUCAGCAGCUAUAAGCAAAUAGGUGAGAUCAAUGAGGGUUACAUCGUGAUCCAUCAUAUAUUACUCACUAACAAACUCACUAUAUGAUUCAGGAAGUGACUGAAGAACCGUGACAUCCCCAAUUUCACGGCCAAAAAAGACCGAUUUGUUUAUGCUUUGUUUUAUAGAAUCAGAGUUAUCUUUUAAAGAAAACAGUUGCGGAAUUUGUUCCCACAACAAAAUAUGAUAAAAAUUAUCAAAUCAUUUCUUUAAAGAAAUGUAUUUUCAUUAUAUAACAAAAUCUCGGGAUGUCAUGUUCAAUACAGACCAAAAGCAUAAACAGAACAAAAUAGACCUUACAACAGUUAUUCAUAACUACUGGCCUAUAAUCCAAAAUCUCUCGUCAAGUCCACAAACUUAUACUCUUGUGCCAUUACCUUUAAUGCAAAUAAAACUGAGUGGGUCAGGCUUGGGGGCGUGGUGAGCAUAUAGGGUUUUCAACCCACAAUAAUAUAAUUAUUAUAUUCAACCAUCAAACAAUCAACUCAAUUACCCAUCCCUAUUAUCUUCUUUAUUUCUUAGGAUUUUACCCUAGGAAUUCAACUACCCGUCGUUCAUUCAUUCCUAAGGAUUGACCUAAGGAAUUAGCACAAACUUCCAUUGCUACAUAAGGCGCAUCUGCGANGGGCGCAUGUGCCAACAUUAUCCUUUAAGCGCCUCUUCCAGGAUUAUGUCAUACACUAUGAGGCGCGACUGCCAGGUUUAUGACAUUCUCUUUUAGGCACAUCUGCUAACAUUAUCCUAUAAGCGCAUCUGCCAGGAUUAUCCUACAAGCACAUCUGCCAGGAUUACGACAUUCACUACUUGGUGCAUCUACCGAUAUUAUUCUUAAGCGCAUCUGCUAGUUUUAUGACAUUCUCUAAUUGGUGCAUCUGCCAAUAUCAUUCUUAAUCAUCUUUCAUACCUCAUCGUUUUAUCACAUACCAGCUAUCUCAUCUACCCAUGUUCUACCCAACAUAUUUGUAGAUAUAAAAUACAUAUACAAUUUAACUCAUUUAAAAACUAUAUAAAACAUCCAUUCCACACUCAUCUCAAAUAAACAACAAUAUAUAAACACAUAGCAUGUAUUUUAUAACAAAUACUUCAUAUUUAUCUGUUAG